rnacentral:lncRNA from 1 species
GGGAACCCCAAGAGUGAUGAGAUGAAUGUGAAGGUGCUGGACUUUGAGCACUUUCUGCCCAUGCUGCAGACAGUGGCCAAGAACAAGGACCAGGGCACCUAUGAGGAUUAUGUCGAAGGACUUCGGGUGUUUGACAAGGAAGGAAAUGGCACCGUCAUGGGUGCUGAAAUCCGGCAUGUUCUUGUCACACUGGGUGAGAAGAUGACAGAGGAAGAAGUAGAGAUGCUGGUGGCAGGGCAUGAGGACAGCAAUGGUUGUAUCAACUAUGAAGCGUUUGUGAGGCAUAUCCUGUCGGGGUGACGGGCCCAUGGGGCGGCUCGUCCGCAUGGUGCUGAAUGGCUGAGGACCUUCCCAGUCUCCCCAGAGUCCGUGCCUUUCCCUGUGUGAAUUUUGUAUCUAGCCUAAAGUUUCCCUAGGCUUUCUUGUCUCAGCAACUUUCCCAUCUUGUCUCUCUUGGAUGAUGUUUGCCGUCAGCAUUCACCAAAUAAACUUGCUCUCUGGGCC